AAGAACCUUACCUACCCUUGACAUGUCCGGAACUUGCCAGAGAUGGCGUUGGUGCCGAAGGAUCGGAACACAGGUGCUGCAUGGCUGUCGUCAGCUCGUGUCGUGAGAUGUUGGGUUAAGUCCCGCAACGAGCGCAACCCUUAUCAUUAGUUGCUACGCAAGGGCACUCUAAUGAGACUGCCGGUGACAAACCGGAGGAAGGUGGGGAUGACGUCAAGUCCUCAUGGCCCUUAUGGGUAGGGCUUCACACGUCAUACAAUGGUCGGUACAGAGGGUUGCCAAGCCGCGAGGCGGAGCCAAUCCCACAAAGCCGGUCGUAGUCCGGAUCGCAGUCUGCAACUCGACUGCGUGAAGUCGGAAUCGCUAGUAAUCGUGGAUCAGAAUGUCACGGUGAAUACGUUCCCGGGUCUU
rnacentral:rRNA from 1 species